UACGGAGGGUGCAAGCGUUGUCCGGAUUUAUUGGGUUUAAAGGGUGCGUAGGUGGUAGAUUAAGUCUGCUGUCAAAGACCGGGGCUUAACCUCGGAAAGGCAGUGGAAACUGAACAGCUAGAGUAUGGUAGGGGCAAAGGGAAUUCCUGGUGUAGCGGUGAAAUGCGCAGAGAUCAGGAAGAACAUCGGUGGCGAAGGCGCUUUGCUGGACCAUAACUGACACUCAGGGACGAAAGCUAGGGGAGCGAAUGGG
rnacentral:rRNA from 1 species